rnacentral:misc_RNA from 1 species
AUUAUUUUUCCCGAUCUCUUAUAACUGUGUCCGAUCUGAUCUCCCAAAUCAUGCUCAUCGACCGAUCUCUUUGAUUCAAAACUACUUGCUAAGGUUGAUCCUUCGUAAUCGACCUUUAACUAUCCAAUCUCUCUGCCAUGUUUCUUGAAGUCUCUUUUGAUGAGUCAUCCAAAUGAUCAAAUUCUGCUAACCGAUGCAUCACUUAGGGCUUCGUGAGUAUUUA